ACGCUCGACACCUACGGGGCAGCAGUCGGGAAUAUUGCGCAAUGGAGGAAACUCUGACGCAGUGACGCCGCGUAUAGGAAGAAGGUCUUCGGAUUGUAAACUAUUGUCGUUAGGGAAGAAAAAGGACAGUACCUAAGGAGGAAGCUCCGGCUAACUACGUGCCAGCAGCCGCGUAUNUGAGCGGNUGACGAGC
rnacentral:rRNA from 1 species